UAGUAUCGGAACGUGCCCAGUCGUGGGGGAUAACUGCUCGAAAGAGCAGCUAAUACCGCAUACGACCUGAGGGUGAAAGCGGGGGAGUCGCAAGACCUCGCGCGAUUGGAGCGGCCGAUAUCAGAUUAGGUAGUUGGUGAGGUAAAGGCUCACCAAGCCGACGAUCUGUAGCUGGUCUGAGAGGACGACCAGCCACACUGGGACUGAGACACGGCCCAG
rnacentral:rRNA from 1 species